rnacentral:lncRNA from 1 species
AACUUCAAAGUUGGGUGAUUAACCUACUACAAUCUUUAAACUUUAGUGGCUGCUAGAGUACUUAACCCAUCAAAGCAACGAGAAAAUUCAAAUGGAAAGUAAGUGACUGAUGCCGAACUCGGAAAGCGUAACCAUUGGCGAGGAAACGUCUGCGUAGUUUCUUUUCCCUCCAUCAGAGCCAAACAGCAUCAUUGCAUCGAGGAUUUGAUUCUUCCGCCGCUUCUCCACUGACCAGGAAAAUGGCGGGGAAAUUUCUUCUCGAGCCUCAGAGGUACCUUUCAGUUUUAGACAGCUCAUUCUCCUUCACUCUCUUCUUGCUCACUAAAUUCGUCGCCGCCGUCCAAUUUCUGUAUUUGUACUUGCGAGUUGCGAAUCUGGAACUUGUAGAGUGUUACUGUAAGUGUAACAUUCGUGGCUGUAGAAUUGCGUUUUGAUUUCUCUUGUCCCGGACGGCCUGGCAUUUUGUUGUUGAUUGGAAAUUUUCACUGUCGUUUUCUUGUGUUAUUCUGGUUUGUACUUAUCUGCUUGGCUCUUCUCCGGAUAGGAUGUAAUUUGAAUUUCCUCGCCUAACAGUGUCUCUGAGAAUUUGAAAAGUCAGCUUCUAAGUUUUUAUAAGCAGCGGAUUUACAGAGAAGUUAGGAUCGCAGAGGAACUAUAAGCAAUGAUUCAUAAGAUUUUGAUUUCAUCAUCAAUGUGUGAAUUCAAAAGUUAUACAGACUUUGACUGAAUACUUUAGUUCUGUUAUUGAUCUUCUUCCCGUUCCUGUACCCUUUGACUAGCAUAUGUGCAAUUGAGCAGGUGAUCAGGUGUAUAGUAUAUGUAUGUGUCACUGUUGUGUGCACACUGGCUUUAAAUUAGGACAGACUAAUAAGCAAACACUGGUGAAAUGACUACAUUCAGGUGAGUUAAUACUUAAUAGCAUGCAUCUGCAGCUGCUCUUUUCAGGAAGAAUGACAUAUUAUUGUUCUGUUUGGCAUUGCCAUUGCUGUGCAAAGUAGUGGUAACAAUGACUUGAAAUAUUAGAUAACAUUCAUCAAUUUCUUAAUGAUAUAUAGAGGAAGGAGAAAAGAGUCAUUUGAACUGACUCAAAGAUAUGUUGGUUCUGCUUAACCUGUCUGAGUAUAUAUUGCAUGUUACAUCCAUUAAUGCAACUUUGACUUGUUCAGCAGUUCUCUAACCACUUCAGAAAGAAAAAACAAGUAGAUGAACAUAAUAGAUGUUCCUGAUUGGGUGUACUUAGCUUUUCUGAGACAAAAUCUGAUAAAUAUAUAUCAUUAGUUGACGAUGAAAUCAGAAGUAGAAUUGAAGAACAGAGGCAACUGCCAUUGGUUGGUAAAUGGAAUUCUGUCAAAGUGUUGGUUGAGAACUAUGCUUGGUUUGUAUUUUUAAUGGACUUGUUAUUUCUGGUUUAAGUUAUGCAUCUAGAAUCCGGCGUGCAUCAGGACAAACAUAUAACAAGAAACAAAUGUUUAGUGCAAGCGGGCAGCAGAUCCUGUUUUCUUUGUGGUUAUAGCUGCAAUAGUGCAUUCACCGACGGUGAUCUAAAAUAUAAAAAAGUAUAUUUUUUCAGCCAUCAGCUGUAAUUUUGUCAAUCAGAAAGUUUGCACUUAUUUUUUUUGGACAAUCAGAAUGUUCGCAUUUAUUUAUUAUAAAAGAUUUGGACAAUUUGACGUGGUUAUUUUACUUUAAUACAGAAUCCAUUACCUCUUUCGGGAAAUCUACUUUCAAACAAUAAUAAUAAAAUGGUGGGAACGAGAUAUUUCCUUUUGACUUGGUAUCAUAUUUUCCCAUGGUUGUUACAGAACACAAGCCAUUUGAUACGACUUUAUUCUGACCUUGAGACUGUUUUCUCAUCCCAGGAUGGUCGCUGUAAACUUCCCAAUUCUUGAGCAACAACUAUAUGGAAUCACAUCCUAAUAGGAAUAAUAGGCGGUUGCUUAAAGUACGGACAGGAAAAGGUGACAGAUAUUGUUGGCUUUCUAGCUUGAAGUGGUAUGAUGCAAAGUUGACAAGCCCAUGAACGUCUCUUCUGGUACCUCUCUUUAACUACGUCUAUCUUCAAGUUAUGAUACAUAAUUUCCACAUAUUUUCAACAAACUAAUCCCUUAUCAUUGCUUUGAAAAGAACAAACAUGAUCUAUUUUACAUCCCCGAAGGGCAAAAGAAUUUCCUAAUUAGGUGCAUGGACACUCCGUAUCUUGUAUCUUAUACCAUGCUCAUGCAGUCAUGCUUACAGUACUUGUCCCAUAUGCUAAGAUAAAUACCUACGUUAAACUACAACAAUAGGCAGUAACUGCUAGUCUGUCAGUCUGUGAUGCAGCCUAUUCUUCAUGGCCAGUCCAGUUGUUCCCAGUCGAUGAAUUGUUCAUCCAGAUAAUCAGCAAUCUCCAUGUCCGCGAUUCGAGCACCUUGAGAGAAGCCAUGGUCUCCUCCUGAGUUGGAAGUUUCAG